CACGGGGGGUGCAAGCGUUAAUCGGAAUCACUGGGCGUAAAGGGUGCGUAGGCGGUGCAUUAGGUCUGUCGUGAAAUCCCCGGGCUCAACCUGGGAAUGGCGGUGGAAACCGGUGUACUAGAGUAUGGGAGAGGGUGGUGGAAUUCCAGGUGUAGCGGUGAAAUGCGUAGAGAUCUGGAGGAACAUCAGUGGCGAAGGCGGCCACCUGGCCCAAUACUGACGCUGAGGCACGAAAGCGUGGGGAGCAAACAGG
rnacentral:rRNA from 1 species